GACGAACGCUGGCGGCGUGCUUAACACAUGCAAGUCGAGCGGUAAGGCCCUUUCGGGGGUACACGAGCGGCGAACGGGUGAGUAACACGUGGGUGACCUGCCCUCAGCUCUGGGAUAAGCCUGGGAAACCGGGUCUAAUACCGGAUAUGACUCCAUGACGCAUGUUGUGGGGUGGAAAGCCUUGUGCGGCUGAGGAUGGGCCCGCGGCCUAUCAGCUUGUUGGUGGGGUGAUGGCCUACCAAGGCGACGACGGGUAGCCGGCCUGAGAGGGCGACCGGCCACACUGGGACUGAGACACGGCCCAGACUCCUACGGGAGGCAGCAGUGGGGAAUCUUGCGCAAUGGGCGAAAGCCUGACGCAGCGACGCCGCGUGAGGGAGGAAAUCCUUCGGGAUGUAAACCUCACAAGCAAGGGAAGAGAGCUCAGGGCCGAAUAAGCUUUGAGUCCGACGGUACCUUG
rnacentral:rRNA from 1 species